UAGGCUUUGGUAACCCGGCUUGUUGCUUAAUUUGACCGGGGAGGAUUCGCCGGCGUACACCGAUUUCGCUGGCCUGGAGAGACCGGCGUGGAAUUCGCCGCUUUGGCGGAACCCUCGGUUUAGUGAUGUGACCAUGAGAUGUGGAAAUCAACAAGAUCGGGCGACUUCAUCUGGAACUCGAGUUUAUACUCCCAUUACGUCAGAAUCCGAUGUCGGUGCUAGCGCUAUUGAUACUGAAUGACACAUGGUAAUUAUGUAACCGCAACUUCUCGGGCCUUUCCGGGAAGCUCGGAAAACACCCGAAUGUAUUAACGUACAUUUACCUGA